rnacentral:rRNA from 1 species
GACCAACGCUGGCGGCGUGCCUAAUACAUGCGAGUAGAAUGGACAGUGUAUACCGUAGCUUGAUACACCAUAGACUGUGAGUUGCGAACGGGUGAGUAACGCGUAGGUAACCUGCCGGGGAGCGGGGGAUAACUAUUGGAAACGAGAGGUAAUACCGCAUACUAUUGAUUAUUGCAGGAUAAGUGGUUGAAAGUUGGUAGUGCAUCACUACCGGAUGAACCUGAGUUGUAUUAGCUAGUAGGUGAGGUAACGGCUCACCUAGGCGACGAUACAUAGCCGCCCUUGCCGUGUCAUAGGCCCCCCUGGGACUGAGACAAGGCCCAGACUCCUCCGGGAGGCAGCCGGAGCGAACCUUCGGCAAUGGACGCAAGUCUGACCGAGCACCGCCGCGUGCGUGCAGAAGGGUGUCGGAUCGUAAAGCUCUGUUGUAACAGAAGAACGGGUGUGAGAGUGGAAAGUUCACACUGUGACGGUAUCUUACCAGAAAGGGACGGCUAACUACGUG